rnacentral:rRNA from 1 species
UACAGAGGUCCCGAGCGUUGUUCGGAUUCACUGGGCGUAAAGGGUGCGUAGGUGGCAUGGUAAGUUUGAUGUGAAAGCUCAGGGCUCAACCCUGAAAUGGCAUUGAAUACUACUGUGCUGGAGGUUUGGAGGGGGGACUGGAAUUCUUGGUGUAGCAGUGAAAUGCGUAGAUAUCAAGAGGAACACCAGUGGCGAAGGCGAGUCCCUGGACAACACCUGACACUGAGGCACGAAAAGCUAGGGGAGCAAACAGG